GAUGAACGCUAGCGGCAGGCUUAACACAUGCAAGUCGAGGGGCAGCGAGGGUAGCAAUACCUGUCGGCGACCGGCAAACGGGUGCGGAACACGUACAGAACCUACCUUGAUCUGGGGCAUAGCCCCGGAGAAAUCCGGAUUAACUCCCCAUAAUAUAUUUGGGUGGCAUCACCUGGAUAUUAAAAAUUUAUUGGAUCGAGAUGGCUGUGCGUCCCAUUAGCUAGUUGGUAGGGUAACGGCCUACCAAGGCGACGAUGGGUAGCUGGUGUG
rnacentral:rRNA from 1 species